AUUGAACGCUGGCGGCAGGCCUAACACAUGCAAGUCGAACGAGUGGCGGAAGGGUGAGUAAUGUCGGGGAAACUGCCUGAUGGAGGGGGAUAAAUACUGGAAACGGUAGCUAAUACCGCAUACCAUCAGAUGUGCCCAGAUGGGAUUAGCUAGUUGGUGGCGUAACGGCUCACAAAGGCGACGAGCCCUAGCUGGGCUGAGAGGAUGACCAGCCACACUGGAACUGAGACACGGGCCAGACUCCUACUGUAGGCAUCAGUGGGGAAUAUUGCACAAUGGGCGCAAGCCUGAUGCAGCCAUGCCGCGUGUAUGAAGAAGGCCUUCGGGUUGUAAAGUACUUUCAGCGGGGAGGCGUUACCCGCAGAAGAAGCACCGGCUAACUCCGUGCCAGCAGCCGCGGUAAUAC
rnacentral:rRNA from 1 species